rnacentral:tRNA from 1 species
GGCGAGAUGGCCGAGUGGUCUAAGGCGCUAGUUUCAGGAUGUUGGUUCUUCGGAACCACCAACCUCAUUACUAGUCUUCACAGGCGUGGGUUCGAAUCCCACUCUCGUCA